GACGAACGCUGGCGGCGUGCCUAACACAUGCAAGUCGAGCGGAGGUACAAUGAGAGCAAUCGAGAUGUACUUUAGCGGCGGACGGGUGAGUAACGCGUGAGCAACCUGCCUAUCACAGGGGGAUAAGGCGGCGAAAGCCGCUCUAAUACCGCAUGAGACCCUCAAAGCGAUGCAAUGGGGGUGAAAGGAGCGAUCCGGUGAGAGAUGGGCUCGCGUCCGAUUAGGUAGUUGGUAGGGUAAGGGCCUACCAAGCCAAUGAUCGGUAGCCGGCCUGAGAGGGUGAACGGCCACAUUGGAACUGAGAGACGGUCCAAACUCCUACGGGAGGCAGCAGUGGGGAAUAUUGGGCAAGUGGGCGGAAGCCUGACCCAGCAACGCCGCGUGAGGGAAGAAGGUUUUCGGAUUGUAAACCUCUGUUCUUGGGGAAGAGGAGGAGACGGUACCCAAGGGAGGAAGCCCCGGCUAACUACGUGCCAGCAGCCGCGGUAAGACGUAGCGUG
rnacentral:rRNA from 1 species